CAGAGAUGGAUUUGUGCCUUCGGGAACUGUGAGACAGGUGCUGCAUGGCUGUCGUCAGCUCGUGUUGUGAAAUGUUGGGUUAAGUCCCGCAACGAGCGCAACCCUUAUCCUUUGUUGCCAGCGAUUAGGUCGGGAACUCAAAGGAGACUGCCAGUGAUAAACUGGAGGAAGGUGGGGAUGACGUCAAGUCAUCAUGGCCCUUACGACCAGGGCUACACACGUGCUACAAUGGCGCAUACAAAGAGAAGCGACCUCGCGAGAGCAAGCGGACCUCAUAAAGUGCGUCGUAGUCCGGAUUGGAGUCUGCAACUCGACUCCAUGAAGUCGGAAUCGCUAGUAAUCGUGGAUCAGAAUGCCACGGUGAAUACGUUCCCGGGCCUUGUACACACCGCCCGUCACACCAUGGGAGUGGGUUGCAAAAGAAGUAGGUAGCUUAACCUUCGGGAGGGCGCUUACCACUUUGUGAUUCAUGACUGGGGUGAAGUCGUAACAAGGUAACCGUAGGGGAACCUGC
rnacentral:rRNA from 1 species